rnacentral:rRNA from 1 species
UAGGGAAUAUUGCGCAAUGGGGGAAACCCUGACGCAGCGACGCCGCGUGAGUGAUGAAGGCCUUAGGGUCGUAAAGCUCUGUUGCACGGGAAGAAAAAAAUGACGGUACCGUGCGAGAAAGGAUCGGCUAACUUCGUGCCAGCAGCCGCGGUAAGACGAGGGAUCCUAGCGUUGUUCGGAAUUAUUGGGCGUAAAGCGUAUGUAGGCGGCCUUGUAAGUCAGGUGUGAAAGCCCCGGGCUCAACCCGGGAAGUGCAUCUGAUACUGCAUGGCUUGAGUACUGGAGAGGAUAGUGGAAUUCCAGGUGUAGUGGUGAAAUACGUAGAUAUCUGGAGGAACACUGGUGGCGAAGGCGGCUAUCUGGCCAUGUACUGACGCUGAGAUACGAAAGCGUGGGGAGCAAACAGG